rnacentral:rRNA from 1 species
UAGGGAAUCUUCGGCAAUGGGGGGAACCCUGACCGAGCAACGCCGCGUGAGUGAAGAAGGAUUUCGGUUCGUAAAACUCUGUUGUUAGAGAAGAACAGCGCAUAGAGUAACUGUUAUGCGUGUGACGGUAUCUAACCAGAAAGCCACGGCUAACUACGUGCCAGCAGCCGCGGUAAUACGUAGGUGGCAAGCGUUGUCCGGAUUUAUUGGGCGUAAAGCGAGCGCAGGCGGUCAAUUAAGUCUGAUGUGAAAGCCCCCGGCUCAACCGGGGAGGGUCAUUGGAAACUGGUUGACUUGAGUGCAGAAGAGGAGAGUGGAAUUCCAUGUGUAGCGGUGAAAUGCGUAGAUAUAUGGAGGAACACCAGUGGCGAAGGCGACUCUCUGGUCUGUAACUGACGCUGAGGUUCGAAAGCGUGGGUAGCAAACAGG